GACGAACGCUGGCGGCGUGCUUAACACAUGCAAGUCGAGCGGUAAGGCCCUUUCGGGGGUACACGAGCGGCGAACGGGUGAGUAACACGUGGGUGACCUGCCCUUAGCUCUGGGAUAAGCCUGGGAAACUGGGUCUAAUACCGGAUAUGACUCCAUGACGCAUGUUGUGGGGUGGAAAGCCUUGUGCGGCUAGGGAUGGGCCUGCGGCCUAUCAGCUUGUUGGUGGGGUGAUGGCCUACCAAGGCGACGACGGGUAGCCGGCCUGAGAGGGCGACCGGCCACACUGGGACUGAGACACGGCCCAGACUCCUACGGGAGGCAGCAGUGGGGAAUAUUGGACAAUGGGGGAAACCCUGAUCCAGCGACGCCGCGUGUGUGAAGAAGGCCUGCGGGUUGUAAAGCACUUUUAGUGGGGAUGAAAUGUUCAGGGUUAACACCUCUGGAUUUUGACCUAACCCACAGAAAAGCACUGGCUAACUCUGUGCCAGCAGCCG
rnacentral:rRNA from 1 species